rnacentral:lncRNA from 1 species
GUUAUUCUGUUUGAUUUUAUUUAUAGCACUUAGCACUGUAUGACAUUGUUUAUUUUGAAAUUGUUUAUUUCUCUCUCCUCAAUAAUAUAAGCCCAAAAAAGACAAGGAAUAUGUUUUUGAUUCUGUUUCUAUCCCCGGGCCCUAGAAUAGGGUCUGGGAGAUAGUUGCAGCAGAAUCCCUAGCUGAAAUGGCAAUCUUGUGCUAACUGGAAAAAAAGAGCUCCC